AUUGAACGCUGGCGGCAGGCCUAACACAUGCAAGUCGAACGAGUGGCGGACGGGUGAGUAAUGUCUGGGAAACUGCCUGAUGGAGGGGGAUAACUACUGGAAACGGUAGCUAAUACCUCAUACCAUCGGAUGUGCCCAGAUGGGAUGAGCUAGUAGGUGGGGUAAAGGCUCACCUAGGCGACGAUCCCUAGCUGGUCUGAGAGGAUGACCAGCAACACUGGAACUGAGACACGGUCCAGACUCCGACGGGAGGCAGCAGUGGGGAAUAUUGCACAAUGGGCGAAAGCCUGAUGCAGCCAUGCCGCGUGUAUGAAGAAGGCCUUCGGGUUGUAAAGUACUUUCAGUGGGGAGGCGUUACCCGCAGAAGAAGCACCGGCUAACUCCGUGCCAGCAGCCGCGGUAAUUC
rnacentral:rRNA from 1 species